rnacentral:rRNA from 1 species
UACCACCCUUUAAUGUUUGAUGUUCUAACGUGGACCCGUAAUCCGGGUUGCGGACAGUGUCUGGUGGGUAGUUUGACUGGGGCGGUCUCCUCCUAAAGAGUAACGGAGGAGCACGAAGGUUGGCUAAUCCUGGUCGGACAUCAGGAGGUUAGUGCAAUGGCAUAAGCCAGCUUGACUGCGAGCGUGACGGCGCGAGCAGGUGCGAAAGCAGGUCAUAGUGAUCCGGUGGUUCUGAAUGGAAGGGCCAUCGCUCAACGGAUAAAAGGUACUCCGGGGAUAACAGGCUGAUACCGCCCAAGAGUUCAUAUCGACGGCGGUGUUUGGCACCUCGAUGUCGGCUCAUCACAUCCUGGGGCUGAAGUAGGUCCCAAGGGUAUGGCUGUUCGCCAUUUAAAGUGGUACGCGAGCUGGGUUUAGAACGUCGUGAGACAGUUCGGUCCCUAUCUGCCGUGGGCGCUGGAGAAUUGAGGGGGGCUGCUCCUAGUACGAGAGGACCGGAGUGGACGCAUCACUGGUGUUCGGGUUGUCAUGCCAAUGGCACUGCCCGGUAGCUAAAUGCGGAAGAGAUAAGUGCUGAAAGCAUCUAAGCACGAAACUUGCCCCGAGAUGAGUUCUCCCUGACUCCUUGAGAGUCCUGAAGGAACGUUGAAGACGACGACGUUGAUAGGCCGGGUGUGUAAGCGCAGCGAUGCGUUGAGCUAACCGGUACUAAUGAACCGUGAGGCUUAACCUU